CAGAACGAUGAGGGGUCUGAAGGAAGAAAGAGCUGCAAUACAAAGGCCUGGAGAGGACGGGGAGCACUCGGGUGACACUUGGCCCCUGUGGUAGAGUGCUCUGUAUCUGGCCGGUGGGCCCUCUAUGACAUUUCUGUGGUGUUACAUUUUCACGAUGCCUGAGAUGCAACUAGACAAAGCCUUGACCGAUUCCAGGAUGCUACUACUACAGUCCACACCACCCUGGAUAUCCUGGUCCCUGUUCACCUCCAGGCCUCGAGAGAUGCUUUCCUGUCAGCCUACAUCUAUCUGUCUCCUGUUCUAAAAUAGCUGCUGGAGAUAAUAGGACUGAGGGGAAGGCUCAGUGGUUAA